CCGCCUGUUUACCAAAAACAUCGCCUCUUGCAAAUCUUGUAUAAGAGGUCCCGCCUGCCCUGUGACAUUGUUUAACGGCCGCGGUAUUAUGACCGUGCGAAGGUAGCGUAAUCACUUGUCUUUUAAUUGAAGACCUGUAUGAAAGGCAUCACGAGAGUUUACCUGUCUCUAUUUUCUAAUCAAUGAAAUUGAUUUCCCCGUGCAGAAGCGGGGAUAUAACCAUAAGACGAGAAGACCCUAUGGAGCUUUAAACACUUAAGUUACUAUCUUAUUUAUUAAUUAAUCUAAAGACUUAACCAUUCUAAUAGUAACCUAACUUAAUGUUUUCGGUUGGGGCGACCAAGGAGUAAAAGAAAACCUCCUUAUCGAUUGAGUAUUUUUACUUAAAAGUCAGAACGACAGUUCUGAUUAAUAGAAUAUCUAACGAAUAAUGACCCAGGGCUAUCCCCUGAUCAAUGAACCAAGUUACCCUAGGGAUAACAGCGCAAUCCUUUCUAAGAGUCCAUAUCGCCGAAAGGGUUUACGACCUCGAUGUUGGAUCAGGACAUCCUAAUGGUGCAACCGCUAUUAAGGGUUCGUUUGUUCAACGAUUAAUAGUCCUACGUGAUCUGAGUUCAGACCG
rnacentral:rRNA from 1 species